rnacentral:rRNA from 1 species
UACGGGGGGGGCAAGCGUUGUUCGGAAUUACUGGGCGUAAAGGGCUCGUAGGUGGCCAACUAAGUCAGACGUGAAAUCCCUCGGCUUAACCGGGGGAACUGCGUCUGAUACUGGAUGGCUUGAGUGUGGGAGAGGGAUGCGGAAUUCCAGGUGUAGCGGUGAAAUGCGUAGAUAUCUGGAGGAACACCGGUGGCGAAGGCGGCAUCCUGGACCAUUACUGACACUGAAUAGCGAAAGCCAGGGGAGCAAACGGG